rnacentral:snRNA from 1 species
GUGCUCACUUUGGCAGAACAUAUACAAAAAAUUGGAACGAUACAGAGAAGAUUAGCAUGGCCCCUGCACAAGGAUGACACACAAAUUCGUGAAGUGUUUCAUAUUUUU